rnacentral:rRNA from 1 species
UAGGGAAUCUUCCACAAUGGACGCAAGUCUGAUGGAGCAACGCCGCGUGAGUGAAGAAGGGUUUCGGCUCGUAAAGCUCUGUUGGUAGUGAAGAAAGAUAGAGGUAGUAACUGGCCUUUAUUUGACGGUAAUUACUUAGAAAGUCACGGCUAACUACGUGCCAGCAGCCGCGGUAAUACGUAGGUGGCAAGCGUUGUCCGGAUUUAUUGGGCGUAAAGCGAGUGCAGGCGGUUCAAUAAGUCUGAUGUGAAAGCCUUCGGCUCAACCGGAGAAUUGCAUCAGAAACUGUUGAACUUGAGUGCAGAAGAGGAGAGUGGAACUCCAUGUGUAGCGGUGGAAUGCGUAGAUAUAUGGAAGAACACCAGUGGCGAAGGCGGCUCUCUGGUCUGCAACUGACGCUGAGGCUCGAAAGCAUGGGUAGCGAACAGGAUUAGAUACCCUGGUAGUCCAUGCCGUANCGAUGAGUGCUAAGUGUUGGGAGGUUUCCGCCUCUCAGUGCUGCAGCUAACGCAUUAAGCACUCCGCCUGGGGAGUACGACCGCAAGGUUG